rnacentral:rRNA from 1 species
ACGGGAGGCAGCAGUGGGGGAUAUUGCACAAUGGGGGAAACCCUGAUGCAGCGACGCCGCGUGAGGGAAGAAGGUUUUCGGAUUGUAAACCUCUGUCUUUAGUGACGAAGAUGACGGUAGCUAAAGAGGAAGCCACGGCUAACUACGUGCCAGCAGCCGCGGUAAUACGUAGGUGGCAAGCGUUGUCCGGAAUUACUGGGUGUAAAGGGAGCGUAGGCGGGAAGACAAGUCGGGUGUCAAAUCUAUCGGCUCAACCGGUAGCAGCACUCGAAACUGCCUUUCUUGAGUGAAGUAGAGGUAAGCGGAAUUCCUAGUGUAGCGGUGAAAUGCGUAAAUAUUAGGAGGAACACCAGUGGCGAAGGCGGCUUACUGGGCUUUAACUGACGCUGAGGCUCGAAAGCAUGGGUAGCAAACAGGAUUAGAUACCCUGGUA